rnacentral:rRNA from 1 species
GACGAACGCUGGCGGCGUGCCUAAUACAUGCAAGUAGAACGCUGAAGAGAGGAGCUUGCUCUUCUUGGAUGAGUUGCGAACGGGUGAGUAACGCGUAGGUAACCUGCCUGGUAGCGGGGGAUAACUAUUGGAAACGAUAGCUAAUACCGCAUAAAAUUGAUUAUUGCAUGAUAAUUAAUUGAAAGAUGCAAUUGCAUCACUACCAGAUGGACCUGCGUUGUAUUAGCUAGUUGGUGAGGUAACGGCUCACCAAGGCGACGAUACAUAGCCGACCUGAGAGGGUGAUCGGCCACACUGGGACCGAGACACGGCCCAGACUCCUACGGGAGGCAGCAGUAGGGAAUCUUCGGCAAUGGGGGGAACCCUGACCGAGCAACGCCGCGUGAGUGAAGAAGGUUUUCGGAUCGUAAAGCUCUGUUGUAAGAGAAGAACGGGUGUGAGAGUGGAAAGUUCACACUGUGACGGUAUCUUACCAGAAAGGGACGGCUAACUACGUGCCAGCAGCCGCGGUAAUACGUAGGUCCCGAGCGUUGUCCGGAUUUAUUGGGCGUAAAGCGAGCGCAGGCGGUUAGAUAAGUCUGAAGUUAAAGGCUGUGGCUUAACCAUAGUAUGCUUUGGGAACUGUUUAACUUGAGUGCAGAAGGGGAGAGUGGAAUUCCAUGUGUAGCGGUGAAAUGCGUAGAUAUAUGGAGGAACACCGGUGGCGAAAGCGGCUCUCUGGUCUGUAACUGACGCUGAGGCUCGAAAGCGUGGGGAGCAAACAGGAUUAGAUACCCUGGUAGUCCACGCCGUAAACGAUGAGUGCUAGGUGUUAGGCCCUUUCCGGGGCUUAGUGCCGCAGCUAACGCAUUAAGCACUCCGCCUGGGGAGUACGACCGCAAGGUUGAAACUCAAAGGAAUUGACGGGGGCCCGCACAAGCGGUGGAGCAUGUGGUUUAAUUCGAAGCAACGCGAAGAACCUUACCAGGUCUUGACAUCCCUCUGACCGCUCUAGAGAUAGAGUUUUCCUUCGGGACAGAGGUGACAGGUGGUGCAUGGUUGUCGUCAGCUCGUGUCGUGAGAUGUUGGGUUAAGUCCCGCAACGAGCGCAACCCCUAUUGUUAGUUGCCAUCAUUCAGUUGGGCACUCUAGCGAGACUGCCGGUAAUAAACCGGAGGAAGGUGGGGAUGACGUCAAAUCAUCAUGCCCCUUAUGACCUGGGCUACACACGUGCUACAAUGGCUGGUACAACGAGUCGCAAGCCGGUGACGGCAAGCUAAUCUCUGAAAGCCAGUCUCAGUUCGGAUUGUAGGCUGCAACUCGCCUACAUGAAGUCGGAAUCGCUAGUAAUCGCGGAUCAGCACGCCGCGGUGAAUACGUUCCCGGGCCU